UAAAUUAAUUUAUCCACUGUAUAAGUAUUGUAAGGCCCGUCUUUUGCCCAAACCUUAUGCAUUUCUAAAGAAUGCCUUUUGCAUUCAAUUUACAUGUGUGGAUCCCUGUGUUUGAUCUGUAUUGUCUUAGCUGGCCAUGGCCAAAGAUCCCCAACACCCGCUCAUGCAUAAAGUGACCAUUUGC